rnacentral:rRNA from 1 species
UUGCCUACGGGAGGCAGCAGUGAGGAAUAUUGGUCAAUGGGCGAGAGCCUGAACCAGCCAAGUCGCGUGAAGGAUGACGGCCCUACGGGUUGUAAACUUCUUUUGUCAGGGAGCAAUUGAGUCCACGUGUGGGCUUAGCGAGAGUACCUGAAGAAAAAGCAUCGGCUAACUCCGUGCCAGCAGCCGCGGUAAUACGGAGGAUCCGAGCGUUAUCCGGAUUUAUUGGGUUUAAAGGGAGCGUAGGCGGAUUAUUAAGUCAGUUGUGAAAGUUUGCGGCUCAACCGUAAAAUUGCAGUUGAUACUGG